rnacentral:rRNA from 1 species
GAUGAACGCUGGCUACAGGCUUAACACAUGCAAGUCGAGGGGAAACGCCGGGGAAGCUUGCUUCCCCGGGCGUCGACCGGCGCACGGGUGAGUAACGCGUAUCCAACCUGCCUCUGACUGAGGUGUAACCCGUCGAAAGUCGGCCUAAUACCUCAUGGUAUCGUCUGCGGGCAUCCAACGACGAUUAAAGAUUUCAUCGGUCAGGGAUGGGGAUGCGUCUGAUUAGCUUGUUGGCGGGGUAACGGCCCACCAAGGCUCCGAUCAGUAGGGGUUCUGAGAGGAAGGGCCCCCACAUUGGAACAGAGACACGGUCCAAACUCCUACGGGAGGCAGCAGUGAGGAAUAGUGGUCAAUGGGCGAGAGCCUGAACCAGCCAAGUAGCGUGCAGGAAGACGGCCCUAGGGGUGGUAAACUGCUUUUAUGCGGGGAUAAAGUGAGGGACGUGUCCCUCAUUGCAGGUACCGCAUGAAUAAGGACCGGCUAAUUCCGUG